AUGUAUGUAUGUGAGUGUGUAUAUAUUUAUGAAUGAAUAUGUCUAUAAACACACCACACACACACACACACACACACACACACACACACACAGUCAC
rnacentral:miRNA from 1 species